UUAAAUCCACCGAAGAAAAUUCAGAAAGGGCGUCGUUUUUAAAGCACGUCGUUUUUUUCGAACAACGGCUGUGUUGUUGUCUUGGUACUGAAAAUACAAGCAGUAACUAGCCAACUGUUUCAGUUCAAUAAUUGUGUUGCAAAAUAGACAUGACUAACGUUACGCAUUUAUACUAAGAAGCUCACACUGUACAGGAAAUGGAACGGCUGGAUUUCUCAGAAGAUGAAAUACAGCACCAAUUGGAGGCACUUGGUUACAACAACAUACCAAGACACAGACUACAUGAAUUCAAAAGAGACCUAGAUGAACUGAUCCGACAUGAAAAAUCUAAGAGCCACUCCUCCAGUGAAUUGAACUCUACAAGAUCUCAAAGCACCAUCUUCAAAAGUCCUCCUGCAGUCACCAAAGUUAAAGUACACCAGGAUAACACCGCAGCCUUCAGAAAUGUGUUUGCGCAGGCUGGUCCAUCACACCAUGAAAGACGGGUGCUAACCUCCACAUACAGCAGAGACAACAGUAACUAUGAUGCCAGACAGGAGUAUGACUCCUACACUCAGCACUCUGUUGCCCCCAAGUACCAGCGCCCCUCAACAGCCCCUAAUAGGCUGGAAGUGGAUCCAGACCUAACUGACCUCCAGCAGUCAUCGUUCGCUGCCAGUCAGUCGUCCACACCAGACCGAGACACAGGAGCGCAUGGGAGACCCUUUAUUAAGAGGAAAGUCCUUAGGUACGGAAACAUCAAGGCCAAGUUCACGUCUGCGAUGAAUCAACACAGAGUGAAGAUUCAGGUGCAGUGAGUGGGCUGGGGGAGCGUCUGGGAGGGAUUCAUGUGUCCAUGUCCACCCACCAGGAGUCGGAGCUGGAGAGUGAGGAUGCAGGCAGUCUGAGUGACAGGUCUGAAUCAGACUGUCUCCCAAGUGCCUUCAAAGCUUACAUCAGAGGCAUGGCCAGAUCUCAGAGCGAGAGUGACAUCAGACCCCGGCCCAAGUCGUUUAUCCGCCCAGUGAUGGAUCACCCUCACACCAGAAGCUUGAAGAAGACAGACCCAGUGGCAAAGUAUUUCCAGUACAAGCAGGACUGGGAAAUGUUCAAGGCGCCAGGAGAGAAGGAUAGGAAAGCACUGCACUGGGAAAUCAGGGAACAGCUUGCGUACCAACCUCUACCACCGAAGCCUCGAAGAGUAUUUGUGCCCAACACCUACGUGGUGCCUACAGAGAAGAAACGCUCCGCCCUGAGAUGGGAAAUACGACAUGACUUGGCCAAUGGACUCCUACCGCCAAACAACUAUCGACUCUAGGCCUUAUGUACUUUACGCCUUAAAUAGGCUCUCUUUUAAAUCACCAGUUUGCAUAUAUUUUAUCAUUGACAUUCAUUUAAUUCACAAGUUUUUAUUGGACAUAUUAAAAGGCAUGACAAACA